rnacentral:rRNA from 1 species
AACGAACGCUGGCGGCAUGCCUAACACAUGCAAGUCGAACGAGACCUUCGGGUCUAGUGGCGCACGGGUGCGUCACGCGUGGGAACCCGCCCUUAGGUUCGGAAUAACUCCCCGACAGGGGUGCUAAUACCGGAUAAUGUCUUCGGACCAAAGAUUUAUCGCCUUUGGAUGUGCCCGCGUUGGAUUAGCUAUUUGGUAAGGUAAAAGCCUACCAAGGCGACGAUGCAUAGCUGGUCUGAGAGGAUGAUCAGCCACACUGGAACUGAGACACGGCCCAGACUCCUACGGGAGGCAGCAGUAGGGAAUCUUCCGCAAAGGGCGAAAGCCUGACGGAGCAAAGCCGCGUGAGUGAUGAAGGUCUUCGGAUAGUAAAACUCUGUUAUUAGGGAAGAACAAAUGUGUAAGUAACUAUGCACGGCUUGAAGGUACCUAAUCAGAAAGCCACGGCUAACUACGUG